rnacentral:rRNA from 1 species
GCGCGGUGGUCCCACCUGACCCCAUGCCGAACUCAGAAGUGAAACGCCGUAGCGCCGAUGGUAGUGUGGGGCUUCCCCAUGCGAGAGUAGGGAACUGCCAGGC